GGUUUAGAACGUCGUGAGACAGUUCGGUCCCUAUCUGCCGUGGGCGCUGGAGAAUUGAGGGGGGCUGCUCCUAGUACGAGAGGACCGGAGUGGACGCAUCACUGGUGUUCGGGUUGUCAUGCCAAUGGCACUGCCCGGUAGCUAAAUGCGGAAGAGAUAAGUGCUGAAAGCAUCUAAGCACGAAACUUGCCCCGAGAUGAGUUCUCCCUGAGACUAUAAGUCUCCUGAAGGAACGUUGAAGACGACGACGUUGAUAGGCCGGGUGUGUAAGCGCAGCGAUGCGUUGAGCUAACCGGUACUAAUGAACCGUGAGGCUUAACCUUAC
rnacentral:rRNA from 1 species